CCCUCUGAGUCAGGUACCAAGAAAGAGCCAGAAGAAGAAGCAGUCAUAGAAGGGGAGAAACUGCAUUCUGUGGUCCCUCCGGUGGCUACAAAGGAUUCUGAGGCACCCUCUAGAACAGGACCCCAAAAUAGAAAAUGGAGAAAAGGGAAAACACUGGAAGAAAAAGGAUAUACAACCCAGGUUUAUCCAUCAGGGUAAACAGAACCUAUAUGACAAGGCGGAAACUGCCCUGUCAUACAGAGCCAGAAGCAGAGGACAAAUCAUUGACAGAAUGGCAGAGACUGUUUGCAGACUCUGUGGCGAAAGUGGCUGCAACGGACCUAUUUGCCCUCUCUGAACCAGAGGCUGAGAUAAAGCCUGACGGGGAGACAGAGCAGAAAAUGACAGACGAAGAGAUGAAGGCGAAAUUAAAGAAAAAGCUUGGCGAGUUCAACCUGAAGAUGAAGCCGAAAUCAACACAUUUAAAAGAAGCCCCAACAGAAGCCCCAACAGAAGCCCCAACAUAACCUGAAAGGGCAGCUGUUGUAGUGCGUCAUGAGCUCACCUCCCCCUCGAACCUGCUGCUGACCCAUCCAGACCCUGUGGACAUCCAUUGGCUAUAGGGGUGUAACGAUCCAUCUACUACAUCGAUGUAUCGAUUUAUAUUCAUAUGAUCCAACUACAUCGAUCUGUGC